GCACAAGCAGUGGAGUAUGUGGUUUAAUUCGAAGCAACGCGAAGAACCUUACCAGGUCUUGACAUCCAACUAACGAAGUAGAGAUACAUUAGGUGCCCUUCGGGGAAAGUUGAGACAGGUGGUGCAUGGUUGUCGUCAGCUCGUGUCGUGAGAUGUUGGGUUAAGUCCCGCAACGAGCGCAACCCUUGCUAUUAGUUGCUACGCAAGAGCACUCUAAUAGGACUGCCGUUGACAAAA
rnacentral:rRNA from 1 species